rnacentral:rRNA from 1 species
AUGGCGGGUGGUGGCACUCAGCAGAGCCUCAGGAAGUACCUCGGUGCCCUCAAGGACACCACAACCGUGAGCCUGGCGAAAGUGAACAGCGAUUACAAGGAACUGGACAUUGCGAUUGUGAAGGCCACCAACCAUAGCGAGCGUCCAUCGAGGGAGAAGUACAUAAGAGAAAUUUUCCUUUCCAUCUCUGCCGCAAGGCCAAGGGCUGAUGUAGCUUACUGCAUUCAUGCUCUAGCGAGGCGUCUUUCAAAGACACGGAACUGGGCGGUUGCACUAAAGACAUUAAUUGUCAUACAUCGUGCCCUUCGAGAAGUUGACCCCACGUUCCGUGAAGAGCUUAUUAAUUAUGGCAGAUCUAGAUCACAUAUGCUAAACAUGGCCUACUUUAAGGAUGAUUCUAGUUCAGGAGCUUGGGAUUAUUCUGCAUGGGUACGCACUUAUGCUUCAUAUUUGGAAGAGAGACUUGAAUGUUUCCGAGUGCUGAAGUAUGAUGUGGAGUCAGAUCCUCCGAGGACUCGGGAUCUUGAUACUGUUGGUGUGCUAGAUCAUCUGCCACCACUGCAGCAACUUCUUUUCCGGCUUCUUGCUUGCCAGCCACAAGGGGCAUCAUCUUAUAAUGUUAUAAUUCAGCAUGCGCUUUCAAUGGUUGCUCUGGAGAGUGUCAAGAUCUACACUGCCAUUAGUGAUGGGACAAUAAAUCUUGUUGACAAGUUCUUUGAAAUGCAAAGAAAUGACGCUGUUAGGGCCCUUGAUAUAUACAAAAGAGCAACUAACCAGUCUGAGAGAUUGUCGGAAUUUUAUGAAGUGUGUAAAACAAUACACGUGGCACGUGGUGAGAAGUUCUUGAAAAUUGAACAGCCUCCGGCAUCAUUCAUGCAAACUAUGGAGGAAUAUGUGAGGGAUGCUCCCGCGAUGAAAGAUAAGGCAAUACUGGCUAUAGAAUACAACAAAGAGCCAGAGGAGGAAGUCAAGCCAACUUCACCGCCCCCGGUUUCAGAACCCGAAGUGGAACAAGAGCCGGAGCCCGAACCAGAACCAGAGCCAGUAAAAGAGGAAGCACCUGCUGCUGAACCAACAGACUUGCUGGGUCUGAAUGAAACACACCCUGCUGUGGCCGAGAUAGAUGAGAGGAACGCUCUAGCGCUGGCAAUUGUUCCAAUAGAUGACGUGCCCCAGGCCGCUCCUGCUUUUGAAAAUGGAGUCACAGGCUGGGAGCUGGCCCUUGUCACUGCACCCAGCUCAAAUGAAACUGCCGUCGCUUCAGGCAAAAAAUUGGCUGGUGGACUGGACUUGCUCACCCUUGACAGCCUAUACGAAGACGCGAACCGACGAGCGAGCCAGCCCGCAAGCUACAACCCCUGGGAGACCACCGGUGCUGCCCCGGCCCCGAUGAUGCAACAGCCAGCAGCAAUGCAGGACCCGUUCUACGGCUCGAACGGGUACGCGGCGCCCCAUGCGGUGCAGAUGGCCGCCAUGGCCCACCAGCAGCAGGCUUUCAUGCUUCAGCAGCAGAUGAUGAUGGCCAGCCACCACCCUCAGGCACAACAAUACCACCAGGCACAGGCGGCCCCAGCGAACCCAUUCGGCGCGAACCCGUUUGCGCCCGCGGGAGCCCAACACCCUUACGGUGGCGCUGGCACUGGGAUGAUGCCCCUCCACGCUGUCCAGGGCAGUGCGUACACCGGGCUGAUCUAG